CGUGUCAUUGAGGAGUUUCCUAGCUC
rnacentral:piRNA from 1 species